rnacentral:rRNA from 1 species
UACGUAGGGUGCGAGCGUUAUCCGGAAUUAUUGGGCGUAAAGAGCUCGUAGGCGGUUUUGUCGCGUCUGUCGUGAAAGUCCGGGGCUUAACCCCGGAUCUGCGGUGGGUACGGGCAGACUAGAGUGCAGUAGGGGAGACUGGAAUUCCUGGUGUAGCGGUGGAAUGCGCAGAUAUCAGGAGGAACACCGAUGGCGAAGGCAGGUCUCUGGGCUGUAACUGACGCUGAGGAGCGAAAGCAUGGGGAGCGAACAGG